GGGGAUUUGGCUCAGCGGUAGAGCGCUUGCCUAGCAAGCGCAAGGUCCUGGGUUCAGUCCCCA
rnacentral:tRNA from 1 species